rnacentral:rRNA from 1 species
AUGACGGCCUUCGGGUUGUAAACCUCUUUCAGCAGGGACGAAGCGCAAGUGACGGUACCUGCAGAAGAAGCACCGGCUAACUAACGUGC